rnacentral:sRNA from 1 species
AGCUCGAUUUCAACUUUUUUUUGUUGAAUUUUUUUUUCUUCUGCUGUUGACACGCUUCCCAGAGUUAUCUUUCUUUGCAGCUACGAUUGACAACUGUGGCGUGUAUGUAUAUAAGAUGUAUAUGGUUUAUUCUUUAACUUUUUUUAAGUUGUUGAUUUUCUUUUGUUGAUUGUAUAUAGAUUUAUAGAUUUUAGAUUCCCACUGUAUAUAUAACCGACAUGUGUAUAUACAUUACAUUUUAGUACCUUCAAUUUAAUGGCUUAUUUUUCUUACAGUAACCAUUUCUUGUAUUCUUUUAGUCAAUAAAAUUUUGCUUUUUAUUUGCAACUAG